rnacentral:rRNA from 1 species
GGAUGCCGCGUGUAGGAAGACUGCCCUAUGGGUUGUAAACUACUUUUAUAGAGGAAGAAACAGUAUUACGUGUAAUACUCUGACGGUACUCUACGAAUAAGGAUCGGCUAACUCCGUGCCAGCAGCCGCGGUAAUACGGAGGAUCCAAGCGUUAUCCGGAAUCAUUGGGUUUAAAGGGUCCGUAGGCGGGUUUGUAAGUCAGUGGUGAAAGUUUUCGGCUCAACCGGAAAAUUGCCAUUGAUACUGCAAGUCUUGAAUUAUUGUGAAGUGGUUAGAAUAUGUAGUGUAGCGGUGAAAUGCAUAGAUAUUACAUAGAAUACCGAUUGCGAAGGCAGAUCACUAACAAUAUAUUGACGCUAAGGGACGAAAGCGUGGGUAGCGAACAGGAUUAGAUACCCUGGUAGUCCACGCCGUAAACGAUGGUUACUAGCUGUUCGGAUUUCGAUCUGAGUGGCUAAGCGAAAGUGAUAAGUAACCCACCUGGGGAGUACGUUCGCAAGAAUGAAACUCAAAGGAAUUGACGGA